CUUUUACACUUCUAUGGAUCAGCUCUCAGAAACCCUCCCUACGGUCCUCAAGCAUUUUGGCUAAGUCUUAAAUGCUUAAAACGGUCUGAAGGGCGGUUGAAGCUGGAGCCAGGAUCCUUGCUCGUUUUCCUCUCAGUUGCAUUUUGAAUUGCUUUGAAUAGCAUGGAUUACAAUUCUGCAACUUUGGCUACAAAGCAUUUUGCAGUGCAUUAAAUCGCCAGCUCACACAUCUAGACAUGGUGGAAAGUCUUGUUCUGAUUAAUUUGAGUGUGCAGGCAGAGGGUUUCAUGGACUGGGCAGCACAAAAGAUUACAAGAUGGACUCAUGCUUUCCCUGAUACAGUCAUUUCACACCUGUUUGGAACGGUGAGAACUGAGGAAGCCUGAUAAUGCUAACAAUUACUUAUGUUGUAAGAGGAGCUACAGAACAAUCAUGAACUGAUCGCAACCUUCUGUCAUCUCAUUGCAAAUAUUAACCAGUCCAACCUGCAGCAGCUCGUCAAGUCCUACAAAAGACGAUGGAAUCUUGAGAUUGAGAGACCAGUACAAGGAGGAAACGUAAAUGCACGAACCCUCCAGUAAGUCCCGCCUGAUGACAGUAAACAUACAAGAUUUUGACAAGUGCCUAGACUUAAAAAUUGUGCUUCAAUCACUAAAUGAUUUGUCUUCAUGACAGGUGUCCAGCUUUGUUGUGGGUGAUAAUUCUCCAGCUGUGGAUGUUGUGGGGAGAACUGCUAGAGACUCCCAUAGAAAUAUAAUGUUACUCAACGGUGGACAGCAACUCCAGAAUGAACCCAACAACAACAACAACAUUUCUCAAGUGCCCUCUGCCAGUGUGACCCGUCUUGCUCGAUCUCGUACGGCCAAAAACUCAUCCCUCGAGCGCAACCGCAACCGCAGUGGUACAAACACGGAAGAGCAGCGUGGACGCUCUCACACUGACGUCUCUUUGAAGAGCAGCGCUGGCGCAGAGCACAGUUCCUCAGCCCUCACACAUUCCGUCGAGCUGUCCUGCUUAACGCCUCGUGAAAAUAAUACCACUGUGCAAAUCAGAACGGAACUGUUGGACUUGAAGUGACAGAAUUUGUACCUGAAAGCUGAUGCUCCUGUGAUUAGAUAAUGGUCAUUAUUGGUAUUUAUCACAAGGGAUAUUUGAUACAUGGGAUAAAUUAGAGAUGCCCUCACAGCAAACAAAUAUUGCACAUAAUUAAUAGACUUGGCACUAGUUUAAAAUAUAUGAAACAGUGGUUUAAAUUUCCGUUUUAUUACUUACAAUGUUCAAUAUGUAAUAUUUUAUAAUGAUUAUGUAAUAUGAAUAUGUUAAAAAUGGUUCUAUGAUGCUUACUUGUCUGUGAGAAUGUAUAAUAUGUAUCUUAAAAUGGGGAGUGUGUAUGUGCAUGAUUGUGUUGGGAGAGUUUUCUGAUAAGGAUUAAUGUUUGGAUGAUUUUUUUAUACAUUACAUAUUGCAUAUAUCUGUACUUGUAAUAUCUAACAGUAGUGUCAAAUACUGACAGUAUUUUUUAGUCUAUUAACAAUGUAGUCUACAGAACAUUUGAUAUAGUAUCUGAAUCAGUGGUUGUGCUUCUUACAGUCCCAUCUUACAUUAUAUUCAUGAGCAAGGAAGAUAUUUAGGUUGGUAAGAUCACUUUGUAUUUACCAAAAUAAAAUUGAGUAUAUUAAGUCUGUCUCUUACUGCUGUAUGAUGUCUAACAAUGUGAAAA